rnacentral:rRNA from 1 species
UACGAAGGGGGCUAGCGUUGUUCGGAAUUACUGGGCGUAAAGCGCACGUAGGCGGACAUUUAAGUCAGGGGUGAAAUCCCGGAGCUCAACUCCGGAACUGCCUUUGAUACUGGGUGUCUUGAGUGUGGAAGAGGUGAGUGGAAUUCCGAGUGUAGAGGUGAAAUUCGUAGAUAUUCGGAGGAACACCAGUGGCGAAGGCGGCUCACUGGUCCAUUACUGACGCUGAGGUGCGAAAGCUAGGGGAGCGAACGGG